CAAUGGGUCUCAGAAUGUUGU
rnacentral:miRNA from 12 species